GUGACAAACAUAUGAUACCAUGUGGCUUGAUCCUGUGGGAAGAAGGGUGGAAUUUCCUAUGGGUGCAGAUGCAUAAAGAAAAAGGACAUUUUUUAAGACUGAACACCCUUCCUGGCUGUCCCAGUUUAAUUCAUGGCAUAUCUCAUUGGAAGAUAACUACUCUGGUCCUGAUUGACUGUUGUGUUAUUUUGCAAAAUAGUGAUGCAAAAAACCCCUCAAAUCAUAUUAACAAAAGCUAUUGCCUCCCACAAAAGUUACUGAGCUUUAGGAGAGCAUGUCCAAGACUACCCCAUGAGGCUGAAUGUGUACAACUCAAUGAAGCCAGAUGACAUGCAUCCCAGCAUCCUGAAAGUUCUGUCUGAUGUGGUUGCCAAGAUGCUCUCCAUCAUAUUUGAAAAGUUAUGUCUGUCAGCUGAAGUUCAUGGACAUGAUAAAGGAAAACAUCACUUCCAUAUUCAAGAAAGGGAUAAAGGAAGACCUGGGGGACUACAGGCUGGUGAGUCUCAUCUCUGUGUCUGAGAAGAUCAUGGAACAGAUCCUGCUAGAAGUUGCGUUAAGGCAGAUGUGGGAUAUGAAGCUGUAGGCGGAGUUCCAGAGGAGGACCACAAGAAUGCUCAGAGGACUGGAGCACCUCUGCUGCUAAGACAGAUGACAGCAGAGGGGCAGUCUGACAUGAUGACGUCUGAUGUGAAAGUGUAUAUAAGGCAAAGGUAUGAAUUCCUCCAUGCAGAAAAAAAAUGACACCCAUUGACAUUCAUUGAUGCUUGCUGCUUUUUUAUGGAGACCAAGCAGCGAGGUGCUGGAUGAUGCUCUUCAGCAGUGGGAACAGCACUGCAGAAGACAAGCCACAUUCUGGAUAGCCAUAUAUAUUCACCAUGAAAUGAAGAGAAUCAUGAUACCUUCAGCUAUGUGGUUGAGGUAAUAGUUGAAAAGAGUGAUUUGCAGCUGGAAAUGUGCUCUGUCAAAUAGCGUU